rnacentral:rRNA from 1 species
UACGUAGGGACCAAGCGUUGUUCGGAUUUACUGGGCGUAAAGGGCGCGUAGGCGGCGCGGUAAGUCACUUGUGAAAUCUCUGAGCUUAACUCAGAACGGCCAAGUGAUACUGCAGUGCUAGAGUGUGGAAGGGGCAAUCGGAAUUCUUGGUGUAGCGGUGAAAUGCGUAGAUAUCAAGAGGAACACCGGAGGUGAAGACGGGUUGCUGGGCCAACACUGACGCUGAUGCGCGAAAGCCAGGGGAGCAAACGGG